UACGAAGGGGGGCUAGCGUUGCUCGGAAUCACUGGGCGUAAAGCGCACGUAGGCGGCUUCUUAAGUCAGGGGUGAAAUCCUGGAGCUCAACUCCAGAACUGCCCUUGAUACUGAGGAGCUCGAGUCCGGAAGAGGUGAGUGGAACUGCGAGUGUAGAGGUGAAAUUCGUAGAUAUUCGCAAGAACACCAGUGGCGAAGGCGGCUCACUGGUCCGGUACUGACGCUGAGGUGCGAAAGCGUGGGGAGCGAACAGG
rnacentral:rRNA from 1 species